CUCUCUCUUUCUCUCUCUCUCUUAUCCAGGUUAACCUUGAUCUCCUUUUUCUUUCUAUCUUUUAUUGAUACACUUCCUUUGUUCUUAAUUCCAGUUUUUUUUUUCUUUUUCUCGCAAUCUGAUCUUGGAUUUCACAAGCAUAACUCAGUAGAUUUUGGAUUUCACUAGUCUUCCAAGCCCAACCCGUUCGAUUCUGAUGAUGAAUCCGACAACAAACAUACCCGCCGCAUAUGAACACCUUUCUUCUCAACAAAGUCGUCAGAAUCGUCAAUCCAACCAUGCGUUGAAGUGUUGUUUUGUGGACAAGCCUUAGCAAACGUAGCUUCUAUGGUCAUAUAAUCGUGGACUUCAGUUAUGUGGACUUCAGUUAUGUGGAUUGCACUUCUUGGAUAAAACGAGUUCCAGAGAUCAAAUGUCAUAUUUUGGUUGAUUUUGAAAUCUGUUUUGGAUAGUCUAUAGUUAGAAAUGCAUGUGCAGUGUCAUAGUUUUCCUUUGAUCAAUCAUACAUGUUCAUUUGUAUUUUUUAUGCUUAACCGGUUUUCUUUUUUUGCUUUAGCUCAA